GUUGCUGUCGGGGUCGCGUCCGGGAGGGCCGGGUGCGGUUGUGGCGUAGAGCAAGGCUGAUCUCGGGCCACCCGCGGGGCGGGCGACGAUAUCGUCCUAGUGGGCAGGCUGGCUGGCGUGUCGGGUUUCGGGGAGUAUGGCGGGGAACCGGAGUAGAGGGAUGUGAGCGUUUGAAAGCAGAAUGCCUUUGCUUCCAUGAUCUGAUCAGAGAUUAUGAAGAUACAGUUCCUCCCUUUGGUUUGCAUACAGUUAAGUGGAGCAGACACAGGUCAAUGGUCAGUGUGCCACUUAAGUAUUCAAGAAGAGGAGACUUGCUGACGGAGAAGGUGCUGACUGGCCGGAAUCUUCUUCGCAAAUCCUGAACUCUCAUCUUGCAUUUAGAUUCCUUAACCAUGGAUUGCAGUGAAGCACGUAUAUAUCAGCAGGUUGCAGCUGAACAUGGCCUUGAGGUAAAUCCUGCCCCCGUUGAAAUUUGGUUUCAGCAGAUUAUUCAUGGUAAUUUAGGAACUGGAAUAUUUUACAGAAAAAAAAAUAUUUCGUUUGGUUCUGUUCUAGACUUAUUUUUUCUUCUCCUAGAAGAACCAUGUUUAAACAAAACUUCACUAUGCUGAAGAACUGUGAUGCUUUAAGUUGGUCAUCUGCCUCAUUUUAAAGUAAGUGAAUUUUAUAUGUCAACACAAAUUCUAGAUGUUUUUUUUCUUGAUCAAUAAAACUUUUUACUCAAACCUUA